AAGGAUCAUUACCUUUCAAUGCAGCAGAAUUGGGAUGGUUGAGUAUCUCGCCUCUCAGUUCUGCCUGUAUUCUACCCUUGUUUGUCAUAUACUAUUAUUUCCUCGGCAGGCUUGCCUGCCGAGUGAAACCAUUUAUAACCUUUUUAAUUUUCAAUCAGCGUCUGAAAAAAUUAAUAAUUACAACUUUCAACAACGGAUCUCUUGGUUCUGGCAUCGAUGAAGAACGCAGCGAAAUGCGAUAAGUAGUGUGAAUUGCAGAAUUCAGUGAAUCAUCGAAUCUUUGAACGCACAUUGCGCCCCUUGGUAUUCCAUGGGGCAUGCCUGUUCGAGCGUCAUUUGUACCUUCAAGCUUUGCUUGGUGUUGGGUGUUUGUCCCGAGGGACUCGCCUUAAAGUAAUUGGCAGCCAGUGUUUGGUUUUGAAGCGCAGCACAAGUCGCGAUUCAAGGCUACACGCCCGCUUCCACAAGCCUUUUUCACUUUUGACCUCGGAUCAGGUAGGGAUACCCGCUGAACUUAA
rnacentral:sRNA from 1 species